AGUCAUAUGCUUGUCUCAAAGAUUAAGCCAUGCAUGUCUCAGUACAAGCCAAAUUAAGGUGAAACCGCGAAAGGCUCAUUAAAUCAGUUAUGGUUCCUUAGAUCGUACCCACAUUUACUUGGAUAACUGUGGUAAUUCUAGAGCUAAUACAUGCCAACAGAACUCCGACCGGAGACGGAAGGAGUGCCUUUAUUAGAUCAAAACCAAUCGGUAACUCGGCUUCGGUCGUAUUAUCGUACAACAUGGUGAAUCUGAAUAACGUUUGCUGAUCGCACGGUCUCGCACCGGCGACGCAUCUUUCAAAUGUCUGCCUUAUCAACUGUCGAUGGUAGGUUCUGCGCCUACCAUGGUUGUAACGGGUAACGGGGAAUCAGGGUUCGAUUCCGGAGAGGGAGCCUGAGAAACGGCUACCACAUCCAAGGAAGGCAGCAGGCGCGCAAAUUACCCACUCCCGGCACGGGGAGGUAGUGACGAAAAAUAACGAUACGGGACUCAUCCGAGGCCCCGUAAUCGGAAUGAGCACACUUUAAAUCCUUUCACGAGGAUCAAUCGGAGGGCAAGUCAGGUGCCAGCAGCCGCGGUAAUUCCUGCUCCGAUAGCGUAU
rnacentral:rRNA from 2 species